GCCACUUUAGCUCAGUUGGUAGAGCGUCUCACUCGUAAUGAGAAGGUCGCCGGUCCGAUUCCGGCAAGUGGCU
rfam:Alloscardovia omnicolens F0580 genomic scaffold Scaffold68, whole genome shotgun sequence.